rnacentral:rRNA from 1 species
AGCGAACGCUGGCGGCAGGCCUAACACAUGCAAGUCGAACGAAGUCUUCGGACUUAGUGGCGGACGGGUGAGUAACACGUGGGAACGUGCCCUUUGGUACGGAAUAACUCAGGGAAACUUGAGCUAAUACCGUAUGUGCCCUUCGGGGGAAAGAUUUAUCGCCAUUGGAGCGGCCCGCGUCUGAUUAGCUAGUUGGUGAGGUAAAGGCUCACCAAGGCGACGAUCAGUAGCUGGUCUGAGAGGAUGAUCAGCCACAUUGGGACUGAGACACGGCCCAAACUCCUACGGGAGGCAGCAGUGGGGAAUCUUGGGCAAUGGGCGAAAGCCUGACGCAGCCAUGCCGCGUGAAUGAUGAAGGUCUUAGGAUUGUAAAAUUCUUUCACCGGGGACGAUAAUGACGGUACCCGGACAAGAAGCCCCGGCUAACUUCGUGCCAGCCGCCGCCGUAAAAC